rnacentral:rRNA from 1 species
UACGUAGGGCGCAAGCGUUGUCCGGAAUUAUUGGGCGUAAAGAGCUCGUAGGCGGCUUGUCACGUCGAUUGUGAAAGCCCGAGGCUUAACCUCGGGUCUGCAGUCGAUACGGGCUAGCUAGAGUGUGGUAGGGGAGAUCGGAAUUCCUGGUGUAGCGGUGAAAUGCGCAGAUAUCAGGAGGAACACCAAUGGCGAAGGCAGCUCGCUGGGACGGUACUGACGCUGAGGCGCGAAAGCGUGGGGAGCAAACAGG